rnacentral:rRNA from 1 species
AUGGCGCGUUCCUCUCGUCUCGUCGCCUCCACCGCCACGGCUCUCUUCUUCCUCUUCCUGUCGGCGGCGUGCUCGUGCCGCGCGGCCGGCGACAGCCCGAGCGCCGUGGUGCUGCCGGUGAGGAAGGACAGCGCGACAGGGCAAUACCUGACCGGCUUCCGGCAGCGCACGCCCCAGGUGCCGGUGACGGCCGUGCUCGACCUCGGUGGCGGCACGCUCUGGGUGGACUGCGACGCCGGGUACGUGUCCUCGUCCUACGCGCGCGUGCCGUGCGCGUCCAAGCUCUGCCGCCUCGCCAAGACGGGGGCCUGCGCCACCAGCUGCGUCGGCAAGCCGUCCCCGGGGUGCCUGAACGACACCUGCGGCGGGUUCCCGGAGAACACCGUCACGCGCGUCAGCACCGGCGGCAACCUCAUCACCGACGUGCUGUCGGUGCCCACCACCUUCCGCCCGGCGCCGGGGCCGCUCGCCACCGCGCCGGCGUUUCUGUUCACUUGCGGAGCCACGUUCCUGACCGAGGGCCUCGCCGCCGGCGCCACCGGCAUGGCGUCGCUCAGCCGCGCCCGCUUCGCGCUCCCUACGCAGCUCGCCGCCGCCUUCCGCUUCUCCCGCAAGUUCGCGCUCUGCCUCACGUCGACCUCGGCGGCCGGGGUCGUCGUCUUCGGCGACGCGCCCUACGCGUUCCAGCCCGGGGUGGACCUCUCGAAGUCGCUCCUGUACACCCCGCUGCUCGUCAACAACGUGAGUACCGCCGGCGUCUCCGGCGAGAAGGACAAGUCGAGCGAGUACUUCAUCGGCGUGACGGCCAUCAAGGUGAACGGGCGCGCCGUGCCGCUGAACGCCUCGCUGCUGACCAUCGACAGGCAGGGCGGCGGCGGCACCAAGCUCAGCACGGUGGCGCCCUACACCGUGCUGGAGACCUCCAUCCACAAGGCGGUCACGGACGCGUUCGCGGCGGAGACGGCCAUGAUCCCCCGCGUGCGGGCCGUGGCGCCGUUCAAGCUCUGCUACGACGGGAGCAAGGUGGGGAGCACGCGCGUGGGCCCGGCCGUGCCGACGGUGGAGCUGGUGCUGCAGAGCGAGGCCGCGUCGUGGGUGGUGUUCGGGGCCAACUCGAUGGUGGCCGCCAAGGGCGGCGCGCUCUGCCUCGGCGUGGUGGACGGCGGCGCGGCCCCGCGGACGUCGGUGGUGGUCGGGGGCCACAUGAUGGAGGACAACCUGCUGGAGUUCGAUCUGCAGCGGUCGCGGCUCGGGUUCAGCUCCUCCCUGCUCUUCCGGCAGACCACCUGCAACAACUUCCGCCUUGGGUAG